rnacentral:rRNA from 1 species
CACCUUCGAAGGCUAAGUACUCCUGACUGACCGAUAGUGAACCAGUACCGUGAGGGAAAGGUGAAAAGCACCCCGACGAGGGGAGUGAAACAGUACCUGAAACCGAACGCCUACAAUCAGUUGGAGCAUCCUUGCGAUGUGACAGCGUACCUUUUGUAUAAUGGGUCAUCGACUUGGUCUAUCUAGCAAGCUUAAGCCGUUAGGUGUAGGCGCAGCGAAAGCGAGUCUUAAUAGGGCGCAUGAGUUAGAUGGAUCAGACCCGAAACCGAGUGAUCUAGGCAUGGCCAGGUUGAAGAUACGGUAACACGUAUUGGAGGACCGAACCCACAUCCGUUGAAAAGGAUCGGGAUGAGCUGUGCCUAGGGGUGAAAGGCCAAUCAAACUCGGAGAUAGCUGGUUCUCCGCGAAAUCUAUUUAGGUAGAGCGUCAUCCGAAUACCCCGGGGGGUAGAGCACUGGAUGGGUAAUGGGGCCCCACAGGCUUACUGAUCCUAACCAAACUCCGAAUACCCGGGAGUACUAGAUGGCAGACACACGGCGGAUGCUAACGUCCGUCGUGGAGAGGGAAACAACCCUGACCGACAGUUAAGGCCCCCAAUUCAUGGCUAAGUGGGAAAGCAGGUGGGACGACCAAAACAACCAGGAGGUUGGCUUAGAAGCAGCCACCCUUUAAAGAAAGCGUAAUAGCUCACUAGUCGAGUCGGCCUGCGCGGAAGAUAUAUCGGGGCUAAACUGAUAACCGAAGCUGUGGAUGCGCACUUUGUGCGUGUGGUAGAGGAGCGUUCUGUAAGCCGUUGAAGGUGAAUCGUAAGGUUUGCUGGAGGUAUCAGAAGUGCGAAUGCUGACAUGAGUAACGAUAAGGGGGGUGAAAAACCUCCCCGCCGAAAGAUCAAGGUUUCCUGUCCAACGUUAAUCGGGACAGGGUGAGUCGGCCCCUAAGGCGAGGGCGAAAGCCGUAGUCGAUGGAAAACCGGUUAAAAUUCCGGUACCGAUUUUUACUGCGAUGGAGGGACGGAGAAGGCUAGGCUAGCACGGCGUUGGUAGUCCGUGUUUAAGCGUGUAGGUAGGGGGAUUAGGUAAAUCCGGUUCCUCGUUAAUCUGAGACGUGAUGACGAUCUCUUGGGGCGACCCUUGAGAGAAGUAGUUGAUGCCAUACUUCCAGGAAAAUCUUCUAAGCUUCAGGUAAGAAUUGACCGUACUGUAAACCGACACAGGUGAUCAGGUAGAGAAUACCAAGGCGCUUGAGAGAACUUGGGUGAAGGAACUAGGCAAAAUGGUACCGUAACUUCGGGAGAAGGUACGCUCCUCAUGGUGAUCGGACUUGCUCCGUAAGCUGAGGGGAGUCGAAGUGACCAGGUGGCUGCAACUGUUUAUUAAAAACAUAGCACUCUGCAAACUCGUGAGAGGAAGUAUAGGGUGUGACGCCUGCCCGGUGCCGGAAGGUUAAUUGAUGGGGUUAUCUUCGGAGAAGCUCUUGAUCGAAGCCCCGGUAAACGGCGGCCGUAACGAUAACGGUCCUAAGGUAGCGAAAUUCCUUGUCGGGUAAGUUCCGACCUGCACGAAUGGCGUAACGACUUCCCCGCUGUCUCCAAUGUAGACUCAGCGAAAUUGAAUUGCCUGUCAAGAUGCAGGCUUCCCGCGGUUAGACGGAAAGACCCCGUGCACCUUUACUACAGCUUCGCACUGGCAUCAGAAUUGUGAUGUGCAGGAUAGGUGGUGGGCUUUGAAACCGGAACGCCAGUUUCGGUGGAGCCUCCCUUGAGAUACCACCCUUCGCACUUUUGAUGUCUAACCGCGGUCCGUUAUCCGGAUCCGGGACCCUGCGUGGCGGGUAGUUUGACUGGGGCGGUCGCCUCCUAAAGAGUAACGGAGGCGCGCGAAGGUUGGCUCAGAGCGGUCGGAAAUCGCUCGUUGAGUGCAAUGGCAGAAGCCAGCCUGACUGCGAGACUGACAAGUCGAGCAGAGUCGAAAGACGGCCAUAGUGAUCCGGUGGUCCCGAGUGGAAGGGCCAUCGCUCAACGGAUAAAAGGUACGCCGGGGAUAACAGGCUGAUACUGCCCAAGAGUCCAUAUCGACGGCAGUGUUUGGCACCUCGAUGUCGGCUCAUCUCAUCCUGGG